rnacentral:rRNA from 1 species
UGAACGCUAGCGGCAGGCCUAAUACAUGCAAGACGAACGGCAAGAUUUUUAGCAAUAAAGAUCCUAGAGUGUCGUAAGGGUGCGUAACACGUAUGCAGUCUGCCCUCAACAGGAGGAUAGCUCCCCCGAAAGGGGAAUUAACACUCCAUAAGAUUGUGGUGUGGCAUCACACAGCAAUUAAAACUACGGUGGUUGAGGAUGAGCAUGCGCAUGAUUAGUUAGUUGGACGGGGUAAUGGCCCACCAAGACGAUGAUCAUUAGGGGAACUGAGAGGUUGACUCCCCCACACUGGCACUGAGAUACGGGCCAGACUCCUACGGGAGGCAGCAGUAGGGAAUAUUGGACAAUGGGUGCGAGCCUGAUCCAGCCAUGC